UAUACAUGCUUUCAUACAUAUGUGAGUAUGCCUGAAGGAGUGAAUACAUUUUUAUUACUAUUUCAGGCAUACUCACAUAUGUAUGAAAGCAUGUAUA
rnacentral:miRNA from 1 species